rfam:Triticum aestivum genome assembly, contig: Triticum_aestivum_CS42_TGACv1_scaffold_570150_7AS
AUAAUACUCCCUCCGUCCCAAAAUUCUUGUCUUAGAUUCGUCUAGAUACGGAUGUAUCUAAAAAAUUCUUGUUUUAGAUUCGUCUAGAUACGGAUCUAGACGAAUCUAAGACAAGAAUUUUGGGAUAGAGAGAGUAAUUU